rnacentral:rRNA from 1 species
UACAGAGGGUGCAAGCGUUAAUCGGAAUUACUGGGCGUAAAGGGUGCGUAGGUGGUUACGUAAGUUAGGUGUGAAAGUCCUGGGCUUAACCUGGGAACUGCGCCUAAUACUGUGUGACUAGAGUACUGUAGAGGAAGGUGGAAUUUCCAGUGUAGCGGUGAAAUGCGUAGAUAUUGGAAGGAACACCAGUGGCGAAGGCGACCUUCUGGACAGAUACUGACACUGAGGCACGAAAGCAUGGGGAGCAAACAGG